rnacentral:rRNA from 1 species
AACGAACGCUGGCGGCAUGCCUAACACAUGCAAGUCGAACGAGACCUUCGGGUCUAGUGGCGCACGGGUGCGUAACGCGUGGGAACCUGCCCUUAGGUUCGGAAUAACUCCCCGAAAGGGGUGCUAAUACCGGAUAAUGUCUUCGGACCAAAGAUUUAUCGCCUUUGGAUGGGCCCGCGUUGGAUUAGCUAGUUGGUAGGGUAAAAGCCUACCAAGGCGACGAUCCGUAGCUGGUCUGAGAGGAGGAUCAGCCACCCGGGGAGUGAGACACGGCCGAGACACCGAGGGGAGGCAGCAGGGGGGAAUAUUGGACAAUGGGGGCGAGGCUGAUACAGGAAGAUGGGGUGGGGGAAGAAGGCGUUAGGGUUGGAGAGAGAUUUUGUUGGGAAAGAAAAGCAGCAGGUUAAUACGCCGCGGUUCUGACGGUACCGAAAGAAUAAGCACCGGCUAACUACGUG